rnacentral:rRNA from 1 species
AGAGUUUGAUCCUGGCUCAGGAUAAACGCUAGCGGCAGGCCUAACACAUGCAAGUCGAGGGGCAGCGGGUGGAGUAUUUCGGUACUCCUGCCGGCGACCGGCGCACGGGUGCGUAACGCGUAUGCAACCUACCUUUAACAGGGGGAUAAUCCGAAGAAAUUUGGUCUAAUACCCCAUAAUAUCAUUUAAGGCAUCUUAGAUGGUUGAAAAUUCCGAUGGUUAGAGAUGGGCAUGCGUUGUAUUAGCUAGUUGGUGAGGUAACGGCUCACCAAGGCUACGAUACAUAGGGGGACUGAGAGGUUUUCCCCCCANACGGGGUACUGAGACACGGACCCAGACUCCUACGGGAGGCA